CAUAAUUUUUUUUCAAAGAACAAGAAUAUUUUUAUCAUACAAAAUUUUAAAUAAAAAAAACAGAACUGCGAAUAUUAAAUGUGCAUUGGAAAGUGAUAGCUAUAUAUACUAAUCAUACAAAGUGGUGCAUUUUACAUCGGAUUUUCUAUACCAUCCGUGAUGCAUAAAGAAGUUCUCAUUAGAAGAUAUAGUUAGAACAGAAUGCCUGUAUUUUUUCAAAGAAAGAAUGCAG
rnacentral:lncRNA from 1 species